rnacentral:rRNA from 1 species
AGCAGCCGCGGUAAUUCCAGCUCCAAUAGCGUAUAUUAAAGUUGUUGCAGUUAAAAAGCUCGUAGUUGAAUUUCGAGACCGGUUUAUUGGUCGUGCUUUUGUACGUACUGGUAUUAUUGGUUUCUCCUUUCUGACGAAUCUUAAUGCCAUUAAUUUGGUGUUUUGGGGAAUCAGGACUGUUACUUUGAGAAAAUUAGAGUGUUUAAAGCAGGCUCACGCUUGAAUACAUUAGCAUGGAAUAACGGAAUAGGACGUUUGAUUCUAUUUUGUUGGUUUCUAGGAUCGACGUAAUGAUUAAUAGGGAUAGUUGGGGGCAUUAGUAUUCAAUUGUCAGAGGUGAAAUUCUUGGAUUUAUUGAAGACUAACUACUGCGAAAGCAUUUGCCAAGGAUGUUUUCAUUAAUCAAGAACGAAAGUUAGGGGAUCGAAGACGAUCAGAUACCGUCGUAGUCUU